ensembl:misc_RNA Y_RNA Y RNA
GGCUGGUCCGAUGGUAGUGGGUUAUCAGAACUUAUUAACAUUAGUGUCACUAAAGUUGGUAUUCAAUCCCCCACUGCUAAGUUGGACUGGCUUUAA